rnacentral:lncRNA from 1 species
GAAGGCGGAGGCGGCGGAGGCGAAGGCGGAGGCGGAGGCGGAGGCGGAGGAGGAGGAGGAGGCGGAGGCGGCAACUCCUCGUCGGGGCGCUCGAUCGGGUGAGGAAGGGCGCCAUCGCCGGAGCGAAACCCCGCUUCGGAAUCCAUUGAAGGGGGGAACGCAGCGGAAUUUAGGGUUUGCGCAAAACCCUAGCUCUUCGUCCCCUCUCUCUUUCUCUCUCUCUCUCUCUCUCCGCGUUUGCGUCCCAGGGUGCGCGGGGGUUCCCGAGCGGAAGAGAUGGACCAAGAGAGCGCUUCUUAGGUCAAAGACUCAAAAGAAUUUUAUUUUAUUUUAUUUUAAUUUUUUUCCCCACAUUUUUUUUUUCCUUUUUUAAAAAAGCCCUUUCGGUGGGGGGGACUCGUGGGACGAACAUACGACGCAACGAGCACCAAAACGAAGGCGCCGCUAGGUUGAAAAAAGGGCGAAAAGGAGUGAGCGGUAAAGUAGCACAAGAGAGUAGUUGGAGGGCGUAAAUUUUCCCAGCUUUGAAAAACUUUUCAAACACACCUGUUAAAAAUGUACGGAUGGUCCCUGUAGUAUCGUGAUAUUGCACUUUGGUACUUAUAUGUAUAUUUAUUAUUGCUAAACAUUUGAUUGAUGUUUUCCUAAUAAAAUGACCAUUUCAACUCUUAACUCUAGCACACGUUGACUAAACUGGAUAAACUCAGUAAUGAGAAAAGAAAAGAAAACAAAAGAAAAAAAAUCUAGAUAAAGAAAUUGCCGUCUAAAAGUGAAAAGCCUUUGGAAAAAGUUGUAAUGCGAGUAUUAGGGAUGUAAAUGGCUCCAGGUUGGUGGAGUCAUCUCAAUCCGCUUCGAAUGAGACCGUCAGUGGGAGCCAAAAAUUUUAAAAAAAUUAAUCAAUUCUGAAUUCAUCCUGAUCCGCUAAGAAAUCAGGGCAGAAGAUGAAAUACUCAUUUCCUCUUACAAUUCGUUUCAAUCAGUCAAAAAUCGAAUAAAGUGAUAAAUGAGAGCGAAAAAUAAAAUAAAAAUGACCUUGUCCUGACCAACCAAGAACACGGAGCAAGAGACAAAAAAAAAAAAAAAAAAACANAUUUCCGGAUUUGUCUUUUUUUUUUUUUUUUGAGAGAGAUAGAUAGCAUGCUAGUCGCUUCAUUUAUUUCAUUUAGAAAUAAACUUAACUAGAAAUAUAAAUCAAUUAGAAUUCGAACUUGGGACCUCGGUGUUUCCGGAUCCGUCACAUUUGCAUUCCUAAUGGCAAUAUAUAUAAUUAUAAUAUAUGGAGUAUUCCAAAAGGGCCUUUUUGUCGCUCUAGGAAUGUAAAUGGGCUGUACAUGGGCCACAUUGUUUAGUGGGCCGGUUACAUAAUUGGGCCCUUAUAGCGACACUUUACUUGUGAUCCGGCCCAUUUUCACAGUAAUAUGUAUUUACACUCAGGAUUCCUACAGAAUAACUUCAUUUUGUUUUACCAAAGUAAUAAUUCUUCUUAAAUUCUGGUUUUAGAGUGGUAGUUCAAAAGAAUAUCAAGCUUCAAUGACACAUAACGUAACAUCUUACUGGUGUCAUCACUCAGAAGAUGAUCGACUAAAACGAAAAACAUGGACAGUGUUACUGCUGGGACUAUGCUAAGCUACAAUCAUAUGGCUAAAAUGCAUGAAAAAAAUUCACGUACAUAGAUAAUGCGAAACAGCUGAGAGUAAAUCAUAUACUCUGGUAAAUUACUUAAUUGGCGUAAAUAAUAUAUGUUACACUAUUGUGCUUAAUUGCUUGACAAAUCGACAUAGCUAUGGAUUGACGACGGCCGAAACUUUUUGCGAUAAAGCUCACCUGAAAGAACCUAGUUUGUCACCGAGUUUGUGGCACCUCAAAAAUUCUAAGUUCCCCAGGGGACGUCGAAUUUGGUUUCUUGCGUCGCGCACCCUUUUUGCUGCUGCAGAAGUCUCGAUCUUCAUGAUUUGCACAAAAAUUGUUGUUUUUAUUAAUUACUACUCGCUAGGUAGCUGAGAAUUAUUGGAUUAAAUUAAAUAAGUUUGCCAAUGUUUCGGAACACUUGAGCGUAGUUUACAACAAAGCAAAAGGACGGUCCUCCUUUUUUUUUUUUACCUCGUUUUUCCUGUGCACCAAUUAUCGGUCCUUUUGUGCAAUCUAAUAAUGUCAUAUUCAAUCAAUACAUCAUUAAUAUUUCUUAAAAAAAAUAUCUUCAAGAAAAGCCAAACAUUUAUAUAUAUAUAUAUAUAUAUUAUAAUUAACAAACACAUUGGUCUCGUGGCGAAAUUGAAACGAACCCUAACUGUUGUUCAGAUACGGUUCGCACGAACCAGGCCCACGCGAAUCGAUUCACGGUGCACAGCAGAGGCGACGAAAUUGCGCAAAAGCACCGAGUACGAUCAACAUGGUCUCUCCAGAUGCUUCUUUAGAUCCUCCAUUAUCUUGCCACGUCAGACUCAUUUGCGCAGCUGGCACCUCCUCAUUGGCCCGUUCAUUUCAACCUCAAACGGCCCAUGUCCUCUCGCUAUUAGGGUCCGUUUGUUUUGGCCUAAGUGGAGUAAUCGAUUCAUAGAAUUUAAGUUUUGUUACUCUCGUUAUUUAUUUUGGUAUAAGUCAAAAAUAUAAUGUAACUCAAGUUACGUUAGACCUACUCUCGACUUUUUUUUUUUUAAGUGUUGAACUCUACUUCUGCCAUACUUAACCUCCUCUAAACAAUUUAUUAAAUAGUAAAAUUUAAAUUCUACUUUCUUUAUAAUGAGUUAGAAUUAUCUUAUUUAUAAUAAUAAAUUAAAAUUACAUUUAAAUAAUAAAAAAAUUUAAUUAUAUAAUAGGUUAAAUUUUAUAACGGUAAAUUUACCAGAUAACGGGAUUCACUUACUUACAUCAAAAUAAACAAUAAAACUAAAAAAACUAAUUUUACCAAGCACCAAAUUACAUAAAAAAAAGCUGAAGAAAUAAUUGAAUUUAACUUUCAGACUGUACGAGUUAUGUUAAAACAAAUAAUAAAAAGUUAAUCAAACUUUAAAAGAACUCAAACAUCACUGUAUUUGAGUUACGUUGAAUCUACAUAUUCGUAAAUCCAAAAGCCCCUUAAUGGAAGAGGAGCUCACUGCACUGCAUUGGCCCAUGCCAUAAGCAUUCAAAAACAGAGUCAAUUCUUAUACUCUCUCUCUCUCUAUCUCUCUUUCUCUCUCUCUAUCAUCUUCUUUUAUCGUUUCGAUGGCGUCCACUGCUAUACUUGAGUUACGUUGAAUCUACAAAUUCGUAAAUCCAAACGCUCCUUAAUGGAAGAGGAGCUCACUGCACUGCAUUGGCCCAUGCCAUAAGCAUUCAAAAACAGAGUCAAUUCUUAUAGUCUCUUUCUCUCUAUCAUCUUCUUUUAUCGUUUCGAUGGUGUCGGCGUCGAUUGUCGAAUGCGACUUGCGGAAAGCGGCCAGCGCCGAACGGGCUAGAGAACACGGAGGCAAACCGGCAGGAACUUUUUUUUUUUUCCUUUUCUUUCUCUUUCGCUCUUGUUACAGUUACUGUUGAGAAAAGCUGUAUUUGGAACAAUUUUUUGCAAGUUCACGGCUAAAAACCACAGUAAUCAGUAGAAAUGAAUACAAAGUGUAAACUUCAUCCUGCAAGUAGUGUAUGCAGUCGCCAAUUUAGCGAGCCAAAUCGGCGAGGGGUGUUGGAGUCGGAGAUCAUGAUCGAAGAGUCUCUCUUUAUCCAGUGAGCCUAUUCAGCUUGCCGAAUUGUACUACUCAGCGAUCUGAUCGCUCUUCUGCUCUCCGAGCAGGCGAACUGCAGUGAGCAUUCCGAACGGGCCCUCGGCCCUCGCCGUUAAGGAACGGAACUCUGAUUCUCUCUGUAUGUUCACUCUUCUGCAUGUUUUCACAGGACAACAGGCUAGUGCCGAUCGUGGAGCCGGAGAUCCUGCUUGACGGCGAGCACGGGAUCGGGCGGAGAACAACGUGACGUUCGAAGGUAUCCUCCUCAAGCCCAGCAUGGUCACCCCCGGCGCCGAGUGCAAGGGAAAGGCCACACUGUGGAGCAAGUCGCAGAGUACACCCUCAAGCCGCUCCACCGCCGCAUCCAUCAUGGCAAGCUCUCUUGUCUAAUCUCAAACUGAUAUAACAAGAUCCAACCGUCGAAAACUAACCGUCAACAACCAGUUCUUCUGAACUAGGAGGGACAUAUUUGCAAACUUUUCGAUCACCUGAGAGAAUGAAAAAGGAGCUAACGGCGGCGCUUGUCGGAUUUUGCAGUUCCCGUCGGGCGGGCAAUCGGAGGUGGAGGCGACGCUGGACCUGAAUGCCAUGAACCAGGGGCAGAACCCGUGGCAUGUGUCGUUCUCGCACGCAAGGGCGCUGCAGAACACGUGCCUGAAGACGUGGGGCAGGCAGACCGAGAACGUCAAUGCUGCGCAGAAGGCGCUGCUCGUGCGCGCCAAGGCCAACUCCCUGGCGCAGCUCGGAAAGCACACCGGUGAGGAUGAGGCUGAGGAGGCAAAGCAAGGGAUGUACGGCAAGAACUAUUCUUACUAACACUGCGAGUCAUAGCUGUUUCCACCUUGUACGCUUAGUUCAUUUUGCUUAAUGAAUGAAGCAGGUAACUUACUAUCUCUUUCUCAAUUACAAAAAAAAAAAAAAAAAAAAAAAAACAUUGCGAGUCCCCACAGCAGCGGGGAAAUGUAGAAUUCUACUGCUACCUCCCUUCUUGUGCUUGUGCUUUCACUGGGGUUUUUUCCUGACUAAUUCUGUUAGUCAAACUGCUGCUUUAGCCACCGUAUAUGAAUUAUCGGCCAGUCGAUUAUAAUGGUGGUGAUGCAUAACAAAAUGAAUGCAACUGUUAUAGUUAUAAUGAGCUGAACGUUUGUGAAUAAGUACACUGCCCAAUUUGUUCCAGAUUCUUGAGUUAAAACGGUUCUCAGGCACUGGUGGUUUGAGGGGAAUACAAAUGGAACUCUUUUAUUCAGUUGUUUUUUUCAGAUUUAUCCAAUAGAAAAGGGGGAAAGUACAAUUCCUAUAAAAUAAGAUUAUUCUUAGAUAAAGCUUAAACUACUAUUUUUCGCUAAAACACAAUUAGUUAUCUUAAAACACGGCGAUACCUAGAGACUAACAUCAAAUAAAUUGAUUGAUAUACGUUUCUUGCAUCACACUGAAGCCGAAAAGCUUCUUCCAGCAGUAGCAAGUGGAGGACUACACUAAUAAGUCCCUGAAAAUCCUUGUUAAAGAAUAACGGCAUUGCCACAGAUGUUCAUGAAAUCUGAGAUGAAAAUAUAUAACUUGUUUUCGAUUAGAUAGUAACAUCAAGAGUAAAGCGGAUAAGGUGAUACACAGCUGGAUCAUCGCAUGAAAAUAAAGAUGACCGGAAACCCCUCAUAGCUUUGCGAGUAAAACACUAGGGGUUUUAAAUAACUGUAUAAAAUAAUAAACUCAUUUUUGUUCAAUUGAGUCGUGGAUUAUCCACAGCAUGUAAGCUAUCUAUGUAGGCAUAGUUAGCAGACACAUUUUCUCAUAACUGAGAAAGUUCAUAUACCGGUAUUAGCUCGCCGAUAUUAGGUCAAAGAGCAGAAACCAUCCUUUUUCCUGUUAGAAACAAACCAGGCUCAUCAUCAUCUCCUGAAAAUUAAAAUCCGAAAAGUCAGUAGUUAAUAAACUGAGAUACAGCAAAACCUUCCCUAUGUUUACAGCCUUCUGUGGUAAAUAUAUAAACUCAAACUUUUCAUGUAUUUAUUUAGCUUCUGUCGGGUCUGGCCUCUGCAGUGAGAAGCUGUUAGGGGUGUAAUAUCGAGGAAAUAGUUGUUAAUGCCUCUUCGAAUGAUCAGACCCAAAGGGCCCUUGGUCAUCCAACUUGAGCACUUGCAAUUUUAGAAAACCUAAGUCAGAUCGUUUGACUAUAUAUAUAUGUAUAUGAGUUCUGCUAGGAUACUAUUAAUAAUACAUACUAUCCACUUUUUCACUCUUGAAUCAUUACUAUUAGACCAACCACCUGCUCAACCCUAGUCAUCAGGAUGGUCACAAAUUGGAUAGUAUCAUGCUAUUAAUAGUAUUCCAGCACAACUCUCUCUCUCUCUCUAUAUAUAGAUUCAACUUAAAGAGAAACUGAGAAUCCAUCAAAGGCAGAUUAAAAGACCAAUAUGAUAUACCAAGAGAAUCAUGUAAAGGUUGACCUGAUAAUAUUAAGGGCAGAAAAAAAGAUUUUGCAAAUUUAUAUGAUUUUGACAGUUAAGAGUUUUGGAACAUAUAAAAUUAGCCAUUGGAUAUAUAUUAGAGUAAGCAUUCUAAAUGUUCUGAUGUUACAGGUCAAACUCCUACCUGUAUCUUGGCAUUGGGACAACCACAAGUCAAUAUGAUCUAUGAUCUGCUGCCUUACUUUCUUCACAGCCUCAGGAGAUGUGCAGUUCGUAGCAUCACCUAGAGCAGGAUUACAUAACCAAACAAAGUAAGAAAUGGCAAAAGGACAGGAUUAAACACAAUCUAGUCUAUUAUGCAGCGUGACAAUGAUUGUAUUUAAAAAUAUUCCACAGGAUUACAUCAUUCAAUCUAAAUCUUAUUUGAGUUCCACUGCCUAGUAUCUUGUCAGAGAAGGUGAUUUUGAAUGAACCUCAGAUCUAGUAUUGAAGAAGGGGAGCGAAUUAGUGUACCUUCAAUAUUCAAAGGCUCCUGGGGACAUCCUCUUAAGUCGGUACCAUGUCCACAAUUAUGACACUUGAUCAAGUAAGAUGGCACUGCACAUGUAACCAAAAUGCUAGUAAAAGACAAAAGAAUAUAAAACCCACAAUUAUUUUAGCAAACAUGCCAACUGCUUCCGGCAAUUCAAACAUUUGAGAAGCAUGCGCGAAGACAUAUCACAAAAAACGGUUCCAUCUCGCUUGCAUUUGUCAUGUUCUAUGCUUGUUCGGCUGUUCCUACCCUUGUAGUACUAUAUUGUAUUCAACUGGUCAAAAAACUUAAUACUUUAAUGGUAGUAAUACAGCACUUGAGGCAUAAUUUUGUAACACUAUAUUAUAUGAACUAAAAUUUGAUACAAUGUAGGACACUAGCUGAUGAUGAUUCUUUUGCAAUCUACUGUAGCUUCUCUUUUUAUUUUGCUUUGGAGAGGAUGACUUCAUAAGUUAAGCAACAAUAAUAAAAAGAGAGAAGUCCAUCUAUCAGCAGAUACUAUUGCACAGAACAUGAGUUCUGGGGAGAAAAAAAAGAAAACGGUAGCGCACCCAAAUGAGGCCGAAUAAUGCAGCUUUUGAACAUCCGAGAAGUGAAGUUCAAGAAGCAAAUCAAUAAAAGUACUCCAGAAUUAUAGAUACUAGACAAGAGAGAGAUCUGAUAGUACAACUCAAAAUAAAGGAAACACUCAAUAGAAAAUACAAAACCACUUAUGAAAACUCACAAUCUUCUGAUGAUGUUUGUUUCGAUGCAUGGCGCCAUGGAUCUUGUGAGCCAUUGGAAAACACUAUCUUGGAACCUACACAUUUUACACAAGUUAAUAAUUAUUUUUAACAGCAUCAAUAAAUUGUGAGUUAUUCAUAUCUAAAUAGACUUCCAAUUUUCAAAUAGAACUACUAAAAAAGCACAUUAAGUUACGCAUGACAGCCUGAGUGAGUGACUGCAGGGCACCAGUAUUGUUAUGUAUCUUGUAUGGCUGAAUUAACUCUUAACAUUGAUGAGAAGCAAUCUCCAUUAUUCUUACAAAAUACACCCCUCUCAACUGAAAUGGACUUCUUUCUUAUCAUGAUUUUAUGUAAAGCAGAUAAUUGUAAAUAUGUUGAAAUGUUUAUUUUCCAGCCAGAAUCACUUUGUUACAGUAGACACUUCGAAAGCAGGAUAUCAGUAACAAUUUCAAUGGUUGCUCAUACCAUACUCUGAUGUUGGCACUGGUCCUUUAUAACAAUUUCUAAUGAACUCCAAAGAGGCAAUUUUACAUAUUAAACCAGAUUAUAAUUGUAAAAUAUGCAUGCUAAACAUUCUAUUAUUCCAAGAUUGGUGAUGGCUUUGCUUCGUCAAAGUUAUUAGACCUCAUUUCAAUAUGACAACCUUCAAGUUGUUGAUGUCCAUAUUAUUAUUGAUCAUUAAGUAACUGUUCAGUGUAGAAGGGUGAUGAUCAUAUAAGUGGCUCUGACAAUAUCUCCAGGGUUGUUUUGAAAUAUCAUGCAGCACAAAGUACCAGAUGUUUUGACAUAUAAUAAUACAUAGGUAAAUAGUCAUGGAUGAAGUGAUUUUUGGAACACAAUUAGGCGUGAUCCUUUAAUGCACAUGUACUGUUUAAUUGUGAAAACUAUAAUCUUGAGUCCAAGAAAGUUGGUACCAAGAGAGAGCUACUUAUAAAAAAGAAAAAACACAGUUUGCUGAAAAGAUGACAAGGCAAGAAAGCAGACCAGCAAUUCUGGUGCCCCCAUAAUAUAAAUUAGUCAUAUCUACACUGGGGUAGAUGCCUUCCCCAAAAACAUUUUUGCAGAGGUCCAAAUGGUACCUACAAGAAGUAAAAAGGUAUAAGCUCAUUAAACAUGUAAUGAAGAAAAAUUGUAAGAUAGAAAAUCAGUUUUCAUAAUUGGAAAUUGGAAAACAGUUAGCAUCAAAAUAUCAGGUUCGGCUGUGUUGAAUAGAAGCAGAGCUCUGAAUCUUAAUUUGAAUGAGGCCAUCCCACUCAGCUUGUUAACAGCUCUCCUCCAAGAUCUGGCCUACUUCUAGAGCAAUAUAACAUAUUGCAACCAAAUAGCCUUAAUGAUAUUUCAACCAAGGUGAAAAACAGUUUAUUAUAAGUGUUAUUAUAAGUGUUAAAUAGAACUUCUCGUGUGUAAACCUAUUCAACCCCACCACCCCCCCACUCCCUCUAGGUCUCAUUGCCUCGAACUAAGAUUUCCAACUCGGUAGUCUACUGGUUAUCACAUCUACAUGAUGGGGAAUAUAACGAUAACUACGAACUGGGCACUUUCUUCUUCCUCAAGACAAAGAUUAACCCAAAAAUGGAUUAUUAAAGUAGAUUCUUUGACCUUCUCUUAUAAUAAACUAUAUUCUGAAGAAUAACCAUGCUAUAGCGAUGAUUUCCAGGAUAACCAUGUUAACAUAUUUGACAUCAGCUUAAUCAUUAGUUCAAGAUUCUACAAGAUGCGCUUUAUUAGGGAAAGAAAAAAUUAAUAUCAGUUUUAUCCUUAUUCUGUAAAUGCAGAGUAUCAAUAUUGAAAAUAGAACUGUAUAAGCAGAAGAAACUUAGCGGAAGUAAACCUUAUGUCAAUCUUUGAAGAACGGAUGCUAUCACUUUCAGGCGCGACUUGAAAAUAUGCAACUUCAGUGCAAACUUGGAACCACCACAAUCGAGCGGCUAGCAAUGAAUAUUUGAUCAACAAAUCUUGGUUAAAGUUGUAAUAUAAAUAUGUUUAAUGCAAAACUUGUUAAUGGUAAAAGAAAAGAAGAUCAAACCAGUGUAGCAUAUCACCUGUCUCAUUAGGAGUUGUAUUCUUCAGAUAGUGCUGAUCGUAUGAUAAAACCGAAGUACCAAAACUAUCAAUGUAGUAAUCUUUAACAAAGUGAGCAUACGCUUCCUGCAAAAAGUCAGUUGUUAGAAGACAAUUAAAUGUUGAAACGCCUAUGAAAACUAUAAAACAUUGCUCGAAUAACCAAAACAGUCUUAGGGCCUGUUUGGCUAAGUGAUUUUUGCAGAAUUGAGUUUGAUUUAGGGAAUUGGUUUAGAUUAAAAACUGUAUUGUUUGGCUGUCUAGAUGGAAAGUGAUUUUGUAAAACUGUUUGGCAAAAAAAUUUUGCUGUUUGCAAAUAAUAAUUUUUUUCGCUGAAAUUUAUUUUAAAAUAAUUCAAAUUUUGAAUUUGGAUUCAAAUUUAAAAUUUAAAUUUAUAAUUUGAACCAGAAUUUAAAAUUUUUAUAUUUGAAUUUAAAAUCUAAAUGUUAAAUUUUAAAUUUUAAAAUUUGAUGUUUAGAAUUUAAAUUUAAAAAUUUAAAUUUAAAGUCUAAAUCUGUAUUAAUUUUUCUCAAUCAGGAAAAAGAUGCUGUCAAGUUUGGCUGAAAAAAAAUGUAACAGUAAUUUGCUAUACAUGAUAGGCAUCAUAGUAUUGAAGAAUCAUUAGAAAAAUAUCUCAGAGCAUCAUGUAUCAAAAAUUUCUUUUAACAAGAACCUAUUUAGGACGUCGACUGUCCGUGAAAGAAUAGAGGAGCUUACCACCAAGUCUUCACCAUUUUUCUUGGCAUCGAUAAGAGGGGAGCAUAGAACAUCCGGGUUCCCAUACUGAAACUGAAAUCCAAGAAGUUAUUCCUGGAAAAAUUAAUUUCAAAUGUUAUACUAGGUUGUGUCGAUAGUGGGUACCGCUGUAACAGCAGCAUCUGCCAAAAAGUACAAGAAGUCAACAUCAUUGCUUAGCUGCAGAAAACAAGAAAGAGACGAUAAGCAACAUAGGGCGUUUCUCAAUGACUUUUAAGUUUAAGUGUCAUGAUUAAUGGAAGGAAAAAUUAUUAUUAUAGCCAGAAAGUAAGUAAACAAAUCACAGUGUUCUGCUAAACAACAGAUGCAACUUUAGCCCCACAAUGCCAUUUAGUUCUUCAAUUGGCUCAUAUAACCUACUUCAGAUUCCACUAUAGUAGAAAGGGGCAGUAAUUAAGGAGGCAGAAAACAAAAACAUGUAAACAAAGACAAUGAAUUGCUAUGAGGAAAGGAGUACCAUAGAUGCGCUAAAUAAGCUCUUGACAGAUCUUCCAUCAGAUUGAAGUUGUUCCUCAACAAGUCUGGUUAUUUCUUGAAGCACAGCUUUGCAUUCGGCACCCGCUGACACUCCAAUCUGAAAGAGAUGGCAUUACAGAAAACUUACUGGCAAAUUAAAGGGGUAAAAUGCAAAAUUGUGGGAUAUCAUAUUCUUAGAGGAAAGUAGAAUUAACAUAACAAAGUGACAUCAAAAUGCCCCAAAGCAGUUUCAGCUUAUGAACCUGCUGGUCGAAUUCGGUGAAGUUAUAAACGGCAAGGACAACUCCUGAACUUGCAAGACUCCCACAGGUCAGAUGUGGGAACUUCAAGCGAAACCAGGCACUGAGUGCUCCAGAGUAGGAAACACCAAAUACAAACCAGGAACUACUAACACUUGAAAUAUUGAACUUUGUGUUGAAGUAGUCCUUUCAAUACAAUAGAAGUAGAUUCAUUCAGAAAUCUAGGAAGAAUAGUUAGUAGAAAUUAAAGAAGAUAAUAAUAGGUCAAAGACUACAAAAAUAACAAAUAAUGAUAUGCAUGUGUUAUAGUAAAAUCAGAAAAGAAAGUUAUACACUUCUAGCACAUUGGAGGAACCUGGUAAUGCUGGCGGAAAACAGCCAAAUCAAAUAAAGCCUGCUUUGAGGACAGAAAUCUUAAGUUUUCUGUUGUCAAAUACUUGAAAGGUGAACUCUUCCCAUAAUAUCGAUGCUCAAGGGAAACCAAAGCAGCACCAAACUUCUUUGCUAGAACCUGUAUCAUCAAGUGAUUACGCAUGAUUAUGAACUAAUUUACACUGCAGAUCACUGCAUCGCUAGAAUGAUGAUAAUUUUUUGAACUCAUAAUUUUUUUUGGGCGAUCUCCAGGAUGAAGUUCUUGGUUCCCCUGUUACUCCUGUUCCUCCCAUUUUCGAAGCCUUACGUGGAUUAUUAGGAUUAUGACUUACAUGUAGUGAAAAAAAAGAGUACUCACAGAUAGAUUGAUAAUAGGCUAAAAAUUUAGUGUUGAUAAUGAAAAUUAUAGAACCGUAGGAGUCCAUUAGGAAAAAGAAGGCAUGUCACUCAGAGCAAGAAUACGACAUCACAUAUAUACUCACAGCUGUGUAGUCAUUGACAAUUCCGUUGCAAGAGGAUUCGCCACAUAUUUUCAAGAAAAUAGGUCCAUCGGAAACUCGGAAGUAAUCAAGAAAUUCGUAAUACCGCUGCUUGAAUUGGCGAUGAUCCUGUGCAUUCAACCAGAGAAACCCCGUUAAUUAAACUCGCUUCAAAGAAAAAAAAGAAGAAAAGGGGGAUCGAAGGGUUUCACACAUGAUCAAAUAUCAUUUAUUUCUACAGCGAAUUGAAUCGUCUAUGAAUAUUAACAUAAAAACAGUGAUGCAGCAUCAAAGGGGAAUUAACUCGUGUCAAAUUCCUCGAAAUUCAUGAGAAAAUUUCGGGAUUAUUUAUAAGAUAAUCCUUCAAACUUUCCAUGCUUUUCUCUGAAAAGGCUUAAAAAUAUCCAGCUGCAUAACACGUUUAAAUUGUUUCAGCACGAAUCAAAAACCAACAAUAAUAAAAAAAAAUAUUGAUAUCAACUACUAUAAUCUUCAUAACAUCAUUCAAUCAUCUCUCAAGCUACACAGUUAUCAGGUAUCAAAAUUCAUGGCGAAAUUCAGAUUCCGGGAUUCUUUACAGAUAACGUUUAAAUUGUAAUCAAAGAGUCAAAAAAAGAAAAUGAUACCAAUUUUUAUUUCAAAAAAAAAUUCCAGCUACAAAUCAUUUGAUCGCUCAACCAGAAUCAAAAACCAUGACACAGAGAGAGAGAGAGAGAGAGAGAGAGAGAGAGAGAGAGAGAGAGACAGAGAGACUUAACGAUGGGGGAGAAGUGAUCUAGGGUUUGAUCGAGCCAUCGCUCUUCACGGGUGAGGUAGGCGCCGUUCCCGAGGCGAGGGGGGCGGAAGCCGAGAGGGUGGGCGGUGGGGAUGAGGGAGAGGAGGGAGAGCGAAAGGCAGAGGACGAAGAAGUCGGCGCCGGAUCUCAUGUUCCGCCCCCCUCUCGCCGGAACGGAGAGGUUAAAGUCGGCGACGAACGUGAAUACCGCGCCGGCUUUUUUUUAUUAGGGGUGAGGAGAGUGGUAGUAAGCUGGUGGGGGUGGAAAAUCAUUGGAUUGGUUAAAUAAGAGGAGGAGGAUGAGUGCUAAAUAUUUUUCAUAUAAUAAAUAAAUAAAUGUACUUAUCCCUAAAAAAAAUAAUUUAAAAAUUUUAGAAAACCUAUUUUGAGUUAAAAAUAUAUAUAUAAAAAUAGAAUUUUAUUUUUUUUUCACAAAAAAAUCGUUACCUCUAUAUGUCUCAUCCUGAAAUUUUAUUUUAAAAAAUUAUGUUUUAAAAUAAUAAUUUGAUAGGACAAUGAUUCAAUAUGUGUCCCUAAAUAAAAAUAGAUAAGAUUUGUACUCUUUUUGGACGUACAAAUAAUAUUAUUUUUUUCAUAAAAAUUUUUCAGCUCUGAUAUAUAAAAAAAAUUAUGCAGUAUUGUUCGACUAAAAUUAUAUGAAUAAGUUAUUUAAGGACUAAAUUGCAAAUAUGGCCCUCAAACUAUAAAGAGCGCCACACAUUUUAGUUCUCCUAAUUUAAUGUAUUAUAAUUUUUAAGUUUAUUUUACUAAUCCAUAAUAGCAAUAUGUACCUACUAGAAGAAUAUGAGAUUUAAAUAGCCUAGAGACAAACUUAAAACUCGCAAUUAGAAUAACAUGUCUAGAAUCUGAAAAAAAAUAUCUUGGAAAACUUUAUUAUUAAAAAUAUUUUAUUUAUAAACAUAUUAAUCUUAUAACCUUAAAAAUAUAAGUGAUGUUUACCUCUUUGUAAUUUAUUUUUUCUCACCACCCAAAUAUUGUCAGUUUGUCGCGUAUAUUAGUUUGUGAAAUAUUAUAAAUUUAUUUUGUAAGUAUAACAUUAUUAUUUUUUAUUAUUUAUGAAAAUUUUGCAAAUUGGAAAACACUCUCUUCAUGCGUUAAAGGUGAGGGUUCUCAAUUACUUGUGAAGUAACCAACUUCGAGUCCUCGAUGCGUUUGGUUCGAAUGCAAGUAAGAACUGUUUAUUUCAGAAAUAAAUACAAAUUCAGAAAUAAAUAUGAAAUAUAUUAAUUUUGUGUUUGAAUGAAAAUUUGGUUAUUUUUAGAAAUCAGAUAAAUGAUAUUUGGAUGAUUAGAUUAGAACAAGAGGAAUAAGAAUUAUAAUUUUAAAUUAAAAUUAUUUUAUCUGAUUAAUUAACAGCAAAAUAUUACUUACAAAUAAUUUAAUAAAUUAAUAAAUUUAUUAGCUAUAAAUAUUGUAUAUGAUAAUGAAAAUAUAUUAACUAAUUAAUUAAAUAUAAAAAAUAAUUUAACUUUUUAAUUAAUUAGUAAAUUACUUUAAUUAGAUAACUAGUAAAAAAUUACUUAGAUUAAUAAAAAUAUUAAUAAUUGAUCAAUAUAAAUAUUAGUUUAUAGAUAAACAUAUUAAAUUAUUAAUAAUUAAUUAGCUAAUUAAUUAUAAGUAAUGAAUUAAUUAAUUACAUUAUUAUUUAAGCAAUGGGUAAUAAUUUAAAUAUAUAGUAAGUAAAUUAAUUAACAAUUUAAUAUUAUAAUUAAAAUUAAAUUUAGGAUUUAAUUAGUCUUGUUGAGUUGUUUCCACUUGGGAAUAAGCUUGUUUCGGAAAUAGGGUGGAACAGUAGUUCCAAACUUAUAUCGGACUUAUACCAGAUUACACCAGCUUAUUGUAGAGACUCGAAAAUUACUGUUCUUGGGUACGAAAAUUCUCGUUUGGAAAGAAAGAGAAGAACAGCAACUUAUUACCCUUUUGUUUCCGAACCAAACACUGCAAUAGGAAGAUGUGUAGAGAUAAAAUCAUCGGGAUUAUAAUUAAUCUCAUACUAAAAAGAUAUAUUUAUGUAACGUCCCAACAAUCCCACAUUGGAUGGGAUACUAUUUUAGGCUUACACACUAGUAAUAAUAACUGGGCUUAAGUAUUUAGGCCGGUGGUUUUAGGUCUAAUAAAUUAUUGUUGCUAGCGGGUCGAGUCGUUACAAUUUCUUUCAAAUUAUCACUACUCAACUUUAAAAUAAACUUGGUGUAGAUGAACUUAUCUCCAUUAAAUCUUUUUUGCGCAUGGAUCUUCGAUGUUGUAUGCAUAUCUUUUUCAUUAAUAUCAAAUUUAAAUAUUACAAAACGAAUACUAGCAGUUAUACAGAAAAUUAUUAGUAGGAACUUUUCUAGGGGAAAAAUUUAUCAAUAACUUAUCUAGAAAAAAAAAAGGAAAAAUUUAAACUUCACCGUUAAUAAAAAAGAGCCCUCUAGAUGAGAUGAGAUGAGAUAAGAUAAAAUUUAAAUUUAAAUAAAAGAUUAAAGUGCUCCAAAAUUUCUAUAAAGGGAACAGGCCCCUCAUAAAGAAUAUUUAGUUUUGCAGGGUGGAAAAGCAACUCGGAGCUCAUACCCAAGAGGUGCUUGAGCGACUUGUAAAUUUUUUUUUUUUUACUUUUUCUUGGAAAUUUGGUGAAUUUCCUUUUUUUUUUUACCUUGUAAGUGUUUCUUCUCUCUUUUUUUUUAAAUUUUUUUUUUAUUUGCUCACAGUCUGUGUGUGGAUGGGUUGUCUGUGCCUCCCCCCUUCCCCCUUCCGCUCGCUCCUCUCUUUACAGGCCUUCGAAGGACCCCAAACCGGGCUCCCUGCCGGCGACCGACGGCGACAAGACGGGGAUGUGAUUUGCGGCCGGAUCAGGGGGAUCUGCAUACGGCAAUGGCGCGAUCUCCGGAAUUUGCGUACGGGAUGGCNAGAAAUUCUCCCAAGAAGCAAACCAUAUAAUUUAAUUUUCGCCAUCUUAAGAAUAAUAUUUUGGCUCUUUUCAAUAUUGAAUUUCUUUUUUAAAAAAAAUAUAGAAUGAAAUAAGUGAGUUAGUUCAAGAUAAAUUGUUGACAAUUAAGCUUUUUUUUUUUUUUUUUUUUUGGCCUCUAACAAUCUAAAGCCCGAACAAGAGUUGCCUUGGGAGAUGUUUGGUUUGAAAUGAAAUUAUAAAAAAAAGGUUUCCAUAGAAAAAAAUUACGUAUUUUGGUCGGUUGUAAAAGAAAACUAAAUUUCAUACCACACAUGUUUGGUUUGUAGAUUUUUUUUUUAUCUCUUUUAUCAUUUAAUUAAGUAUGUAAAAAUAUUUUUAUUUUUUAUUUAAAUUUAUAUUACUUAAAAAUUUAUAUCAUAUAUAGAGAGAGAGAAUCUAGCUGGGAUACUAUCGAUAGCACCAAGCAUUUAGUACUACCAAGUUUUUCGCCGUUAGAUUUAACCAUUUGACUAUUUUCACUCAUUAAAUUAUGUUAUUCAACUAACAACUUACUCUACUUCAGGAGCCCACAUUAUUCUAAUCGUACAUUUUUUCAUCUAAGAACCGAAAAUCUAAUAGCACAAACAAUUGGUACUAUUAAUAACAUUUCAGUCUAGUUAUAUAUAUAUUACCAUACUAUUGAUAGUAGUUACUUGUGGAUGGCGUGGGUGCUUCGAGCUCAUGCGCUGCGUUUUUUUCCUCUUUUGUUUUCAUUUUCCAACAUUCUAGAACGAAAACGAAAGGUUGAUUUUUCAGUAAAGUCUAUAAAAAAAAAAUUUACGCAAAAAGUAUUUUACGAGUAUUUUUCUCGCUUCUAUGAGGGAAAAAAAAGAAGAAGAAGAAGAAAAAAAGACAACAAAUAAUAAGCAUCUUAGCCACUUGGGGAAAGUGGAAUCAUGCUUUCCAACUUUUGUUUCCAAUUAAGAGUGUUGGGUUCGAGUCACUCUCACGAACCCACAUCUGAUAUGGUUUCAAGCAGUUUCAUAUAUGAUGUCACACGAGCAAUACUCUUUGUUUAACUUUCAUGUUAUCUUUAGUUUCUUUAAUUUAUCAUUUUCUUUCGGCUUCUACUCAUAUUUUCAUAUAAAUUUUCUUUAUCAGCAUGGAUUCGAACGAAGUAAAAAGUACCAAAGAAACUAGUAGAAGAACUCGCAGCCUUGUGAAAAGGAGAGAUGGGCUCACAAAGAAGGCUUCGGAACUUGCGACUUUGUGCGAGGCCGAUGUUUGCAUAGUAAGCUAUUCUCCUUUCGACAACAAUCGUCCCGUAACGUGGCCUAGCGACGAUGAUUCUACUGUAAGGAAACACAUAGACCGCUUUUUCGAAGCCAAGAGAGCUGGCCUGGUUAAGCAAUCCGUCGGUCCAAGAGACAUGUCCCCCGAAGAUAGGAAAAUAAAGAAGCAGAAUCCGAGACCGAGUUCAUGGCAUCGCAUGUUAGAUCGCUGCUCCAGCAGGAUUUCGCUAACGCGAUUGGCCUCUCAUCUGGAGGAGAAACUCUCGACGGUUAAUCGGAAGAUCGGCGAGCGUGGCAAUCACGCCGUAGAAAAUCGGGCACCCGCUGUAACAAAUGAUCGUAACGGCAGCGACUCUAUACAAGAGCGCGGGGUUGUAGAUAAUCGCGGAGGCGAUAGCUGUGGCGCUGGCAACGCCCAGGACGGUUUUAAAAGAGAUCGUCAAACUGCCAGAAUUUGCGACGGAAGUAAUUAUGUUUCUGUAAAAGAGCUGCAGGUCUUGAAAAGUGGCACUGCAGAUCCCAGCGAUUGUAGCCGUGGCGGUUGUAGUAGUCGGCCUACGAAAAAGCUGAAAUUUGCGAGAGAUGAAGAUGACGAUGAUAGUCGCAAGGCCGACGACGAUGGCCCUAACACGGAGCUCAAACUUGGCUCAUCGGUGAUAUGGAAUAGAGAGAAAGAAGAGGGCAGUGCAUCAGUGCAACUCUCGCGGCCUGCAGCUACGGGAAAUGGCGGUUUAGAACCGCAAAAAUUCAAGUCUCCGGGUCUAAUUCGCUGGGGUAUGUAGUUUGUAUGCUAACUCAUCUUCUACACUUCAAGGCCCAGUCCGGAAACGAACCGCCAACUUUGAUGUCUAGCCACUUCAACUGCAGUUUAUCGGCUUUUAGUGCUCAUUAGUUUUUUUUCUUUUUUUUAGAAAUAGAUAGUAUAUUAUCUGAUUUGUUUAUUUUAUUAAAAAAUAAACUUAGCUAGAAAUGUGAAUCAAUUAGGAUCUCGGGUACCAACCACCAAGCUAUUUACCACUUGUGAUAAGGACAGUCGGUCAUUUAGUGUUUAUUAGUUGGUUUUUAGUAUUUAGUGAGUUUCAAGUUUGCAGUCAUAAUAUUUUGCUUCCGCUCUGUAUAUAAAUUGUGUUUGUUUUUUUUUUUUUUGAGAGAGAUAGAUAGCACGCUAUCCGUUUCAUUUAUUUCAUUUAGAAAUAAACUUAGCUAGAAAUGUGAAUAAAUUAGGAUUUGAAUUUGGGUCUCGGAUACCAACCACCAAGUCUUUUGUGACUUGCUUUAGGGACGAUCGGUCUGUAUAUAAAUUGUGUUAUUUUAAGUUAUUGUUUAAUAAGUUUGAAGUAAUCACCUUUCAAUUCUAUAACUGAGAACAAGUUUCUUUUUGCUAGAAAUUGUUAAUAAAUUUCGCGUGAUCAGUGUUGUACUUAAUGAUUACUUUGGAUCAUCUGAAUCCUUGCCUUAUAGUGCAACCAAAAUUGAAUUAGGAGUAAUCAUCUUCUUUUAUUAUAUAAUGUAGGGGUAAAAAUGGGUCGGAUAAUUAUCGGAUCCAAUCCGACUGCGAAUUGAAAAAUUAUUGGAUAUGGAUUAGAAUUUAGCAUCGGAUUCAAAUUAUCCGAAAUUAGCUUUGCUGUAUUUUUAAGAUGUAACAUAACUUUUUUGAGUCCAUAUUUGACAUCAUUUUUUUUUAAAAAAAAUUCCAACUGUUUAUUUAAAAAAUUUAAAAAUAAUAUAUAUAUAUAUAUAUAUAUAUAUAUAUAUAUAUAUAUAUGGGGCAAUUUUAUGACUACCCUUGUAAAAUUUAAAAAUAUUAUAGAUACCCUUCAAAAUUUUGAAAUAUCAUCAAUGUCUUCUCAAACUUCAUAAACUAUCAUGACUACCCUUCCAUCACCCUCUAUUUGUUUUUGUAAAUUUUUAUAAGAUAAAAUAACUUUUCUACCCCUAAUUGUUGGUGAGUAAAAGUGUAUGGAGACCCCUCACCUAUAGGUCUAUUUUAAAAUAGACCCCUUCAACUUUUUUUUUUUUAAGAAGGCCUCUUAAGCUUUUAGUUUUUUUAUUAGGUUUUUGCAUGUAGUAAACUUUCUUAGCCGAGAUAUCUCAUUCAUUAAUUUACUAAUUUUUUUUAAAAAAAUUGGCUAAUAAAAAUCACUCAAUUGUAAAAAGAAAAUAAAAUUGAGAAGGUGUAAAUAAAAAAAAUUAAAAUUAAAGGGGUUGUUCAAAUGGCCUAUAGGUGAAAGGAAUUUUACGCACUUUUAUUUUAUUAUAGAAAAUACAUUUUAUAUGAAUGUCAAUUGAUACUAUCAAGAAUUUUGGCUAUCUAAUUUUUUUUUUUGUGUAAUGUAUGUAAAUUAUUAUAUUUAAAUAGAAUUAAUAAAUAAUUAACUCUUGAGGUAACAUGAAUAUUAAUAUUGACAGUUAUAUAUUAUGAUAAACUAUAUAAUUUCAUAGCGAAAAAAUUAAAAAGGAGCAUUUUAUAUUUAGUAAAUUAUAAAUAUUUUAUUAAAAAUUUUAAAAAGUAAAAUUUAGUUAAUAUACAGUUCAAAAUUUAGAACCAAUCAUUUAAAUAACUUUAAAUUUUUAUACUUUGUUAAAUUGAUAUUAGGGGCAAAAAUGACAUUUAAAAAAUAAUGGAUGAUGUUUUUCAUGGAUUUUCUACCUAAAGGGCAUUCAUGAGUAUUUUCAAUAUUUAGAAGGGUAUUGAUGAUAUUUUCAAUUUUAGAGGGGCAUCUAUGAUAUAAUGACCUCCAAGAAGGGUACCGGUGAAAUUUUCCCUAUAUAUAUUGAUAAAUCUUUUUUUUUACUUUUAGUUUUAUAGAUUUACUAAAUAUCUGAUUUAUAUUCGUAUUCCUUUGAUAUUCCAUCUAUAUUUUAAUAUACAUUUAUCAAAUAUGAUUUUGAAUUUUAACUGUGCCUUUCCAUCAUACAUAAAUUUGAAUUUUCCUAAUGAAAUUAACGUCCGAUCCAUCUUCUAUCUCUGUACAAUAAUAAAUGAGAGCAAAAAGUGCUCGGUGCAGCGCUUCAAGCCUUCAACGUCACGCAUUGAACCACCAACCCACGUGUGGGCCCCACACGUCAGCGACGGCGACCGUGACAUACGCCCGUUACAUCGAAUCCCACCUUCCCGAGCAGAAAUCGACCGCAACUACCGACAACAGCACGGCCCCCCACGCUUCCCUCCCGAACCCGAAAAAUCUACGAUGCACCGAGUGUAUUACUGACGCGACGUUUUCAACCAAUUAAUUAAAUUAUUUCAGUUGAAUUAAUAUAUUACAUCAUAAUUAAUAAAAAAAAUAAUUUUACUAUAUAUUUUUUAAAUAAAAAAUAUUAUUAAUUUAUUAUUAAUGAUAUGAUGUUAGUGUGAUACAGUAGAAAAUUUUCAACGAUUCCAAAUACAAGAUGUGUAGGUCUUUUAUACAGUGCACUUUCAUAACUCUAUUUAGAGAUUUUUAAAAAUAAUAAAAAAAUCUAAAUUACUCAGUACUUUAUGAUGUUUUAAAAGACUACUACUAACGUAUCAAAAUUACUAAAUUUUAAAUAUCAUAUAUUUUUUAAAGAAAUUAAAAUAUUUUUUCUGAAUUAUUUAUUUUUUUAGACUUCUUAAUAUUUUUCGGCCCGUGUUUAUUAUAUUUAUGAAAUUCUAUUUUGAUUUGGAACAAUAAUUGUACUAGUAAUUAAUCAUCAUAUAUUUAAACUUCAAAUUUUUAGGGAGGAGAGAUGAAAGAACCUAAGAUGACUUAAACUGAAUUUUAUAGAUUACGGAACAGAUCAAAAGUAUGAAUAAGAGCAAGAACUGAAGUAAUUGUAUAUGCUAAGCAAUCUAAAUAACAAGUUGACUUUUUGUACGUAAUGUGUGAAAUAUAGUAAUAAGUGUGUGGAGCCAAAUUGAUAUUAAUUUGUAAACAAAUAGGGAAAGAAAAUCCCAAACACAAACACCAGUUAAUAACUCCAUCUCUCUCGUUAAACUAAUCCUCUCUCUCUCUCUCUCUCUCUCUCUCUCUCUUCCAAAGCGAAGGCCAAAAGAACGGCUCUUUCUCUCUCUCUCUCUCUCUCUCUCUCUCUCUCUCUACUCUAUGUAGUACUGGUACAUACACACUCUCUCUCCGUGUUGGAGAGGGAACUUAGAGAGAGAAAACGCACCGCACCUCCCACCGUUCUCUCUCGCUCCUCCACCUCCCUUCAAAAAAGGCAACGAGGUGAGCGUGGGUGGUUUCAAUCCCCUCGCGCUCCCGCUUCUGUAGAGAUCUCUCUCAGAUCGAUCGUCCAUGGCGGAGCUCGAAUCCUUCGCACUAAACACGACAAUGUACUACUCUCUCUGAGUAAGAACACUUCUCUCUUUCCCCUCAUUUCCCCCUCGAGAUUGAAUGAAAAAAAGCGAACUAAUGAGCUUUAUUUUGAUCGAACUCGGUACUAGUAGUCGCAAUUGUAGUCGGCGAUGAUUUCGUACUGAGAUCUUUGUGUUAUUGUCUCAGAUCUAUGAAUUGCAUAUAAACCCUAGAUGAGGAAGCUGUAGUUUUGAUUUUUCUUUUUUUUGGGGGGGGUUUGAGAGUGACUGGAGAAUUAAGAAAUGAAUACAUGCGGGAGUGAGAAAGUGAUAGAGUGAUGAGUUGUGAUCUUUCUUUGCUUCGCUUAUCAGUAUUCAAUGAGGUUGAUACUGAUACCUUAACCACUGAUCUGAUCAUACUGGGGGUCCACUAAUCGAUUCCCCAAUGUUGUGAUGUACCGUCCCGCAACGACGUUCGCACUACCCGUAACAGCUACUCACCAACAGUCCCUCCUAUAUGAAUUAUCAUUAAUUCGGUGCCACACAAUGGAGAGGAAUUGAGGGAGAGAGAAAAAAAAAAGAAAUUGUUGUGAGUAGUGAAGGCUAUGCGGACGGUGUAGGAAAGGGAGGAGGAGGGAGAUGGGGACGGUCGGAGGGGAGGAGCUGGCGCGGUGGGAGAAGGCGGAGGGAUUCGAGGCGGCGGCCGGUGUCGAGGGCGGCGGCGGCGGCGGGAAGACGGAGAAGAUAUUGGUGUCGGUGAGGCUGAGGCCGCUGAGCGAGAAGGAGGUCGCGAGGGGCGAGCCUGCCGAUUGGGAGUGCAUCAAUGACACCACCAUCAUUUUCAGGAGCAGCCUCCCGGAACGGCCCUUGCUUCCCUCUGCAUACUCAUUUGGUAAGUACUCAGCCCCUUAAGUAUUGAUCUCUUGGUCUCAUGUCUAUCAUUAGAUGAUUGAAUAUACAAAUUUCAGACUAGUGUCCUGUCGUUCUCUGCUCGACAAUUAAUGACACGAUUUUCAUUUGGUUGGUUUCAGUUUUUUUUUUGGAAUUAAUGAGUGGGUUUGGACUAUUUAAUGCACAUGUUCUAGAAUGCAUUAGAUGUGAUAGUCUCUCAAAUGUUUAGGAUGUGUAAACUAUUAGUCUUGCCUUGCAGAGACUUGAGAUCAGUAAGUGUUUUUUUUUUAUUUGAUGGAAUAUAUUGUGCUAGUAGGACUUUAAAUAUAGGAUAGUGUUUAAGUUCGGAAAAUGGUUCGGCCUUCUUCAGAAACAAUUAUUUUGACGUUAACUUCCUAUAAAUCUCAGCUAUUUCCUUUCCAUGUUGGAUGAUAGACAGGGUAUUCCGUUCUGAUUGCACCACGAAAGAGGUGUAUGAGUGGGGAGCUAAAGAAGUUGCCCUUUCAGUAGUUAGCGGUAUUAAUUGUAAGUGUAAUCAAACUAGUUACUUCUCUUUCCUUUGGGCAUUCAUUUUUUUUUAACUGAAAAAGUAAUGAUAGUAUGUGUGCUUUGCCACAGCAAGUAUAUUUGCAUACGGACAAACAAGCAGUGGAAAGACGUACACAAUGACUGGAAUAACUGAGUAUACUGUGGCAGAUAUAUAUGAAUACAUACGUAGGGUACAGUAACAUCAAUAUCUGCUUUGAAAUAAGGCCGGAAUUCGUGAAUACCAGUUCUUUUGUUUUUCUCUUCCUUUUGUUAAACUGGUACUACUCUGCAGCAUGAGGAGAGAGCAUUUGUAUUAAAGUUCGCAGCAAUGGAGAUCUAUAAUGAAGUUGUAAAGGAUCUCCUCAGUACAGACGAUACUCCCCUUAGGCUUUUGGAUGAUCCUGAGGUGAGCAUUUACCCUCACUGGCUUUUUUUUUUGGGUUAUACUGCUGUUAAUUUUUUUAAGCAAUUGCUUUCGUAGAAGGGAACCAUCAUAGAGAAACUUACAGAGGAGACGCUAAGGGACUGGAACCAUCUUAAGGAGCUCAUUUCCGUGUGUGAAGGUGACUUUGGGAGAAUUUUAAUGAGAAAGUUCUUUAUUAGAAGGAACAAAGUCUCUCAUCUUUGUACAAUUGUCCUUUUAUGCAGCUCAAAGGAAAGUCGGGGAGACUCUGUUAAAUGAAAAUAGCUCGAGAUCUCAUCAGAUACUUAGAUUGGUUUGUCCCCUUUGAUUUGAUGAUUGAGCUUAAGAAAAAGUAUUAUCAUAUUUUUUGGGAAGAAAAAGAAGGAUUAAUUGUACUUUUCUUGUUUGUUGAUUCUUUUAGACUAUUGAAAGUUCUGCUCGUGAGUUUUUGGGUAAGGACAAUUCAAGCGCACUUGUGGCCAGUGUGGUAAGAAAUAUUGUCAUAUCAUAUUGUCGUUGAAUAUCGUAUGCCGAAAGGGUGAAGUGUAGGAAACUAAUUUGUUUUUGGGUUCAGAAUUUUAUUGAUCUUGCUGGGAGUGAGCGUGCAUCUCAGGCACUGUCGGUUGGUGCGAGGCUGAAAGAAGGUUGCCACAUCAAUAGAAGUUUACUUACAUUGGGAACUGUCAUCCGUAAGUUAAGGUUGUUGAAGUCCGUACCUUUUCUUGCUGUUCUUUGUUAUUGAUCCAUUUUUCAACUUUUUUAGCACCGCCUAUUAUACAAAUGAAUGUAGUUUAUUUAUCUUGGUUGUUACAGCAAGGGAAGAAAUGGACAUAUACCAUACCGAGAUUCGAAGCUAACACGCAUACUGCAACCUUCAUUAGGAGGUAACGCAAGAACUGCCAUUAUCUGCACUAUGAGUCCCGCACGAUCCCAUAUCGAGCAAUCUAGAAAUACUCUUUUAUUUGCAAGCUGUGCAAAGGAAGUCGUUACCAAUGCUCAAGUUAAUGUAGUGAUGUCUGACAAGGCAUUAGUUAAGCAUUUGCAAAGAGAACUUGCUAGGUUGGAGAGUGAGCUACGAUAUCCCGCGACUUCUCUAAACAUUGAAGUGCUGUUGAAGGCAAAAGAUGGUCAAAUAAGAAAGGUACAGCAAAUUAUCUAAUAUAGCAUUCUUGUCAGUGCAAAUGAGGCUUGCCAUAUUUGUGUGCAUUGGGCAGCUGAUACCGUUUACACAGAUUUAAGUUUAACAUUAAAAUCUUAUGCCAAAAUUCUUAUUAACCUUUGUGCUAAAAAUUAUUAUAUGUUAUACGUUGCAGUUGGAGAAAGAAAUAAAGGAGUUAAUGCAGCAAAGAGAUCUGGCUGAGUCUCGGCUGGAGGAUUUACUAAGAGUUGUUGGGGAUGAACGUGCUUCAAGACGAUGGGUAUAUGUUGCAUGUAGUUUUGAUUCAAUUUAUUGUAUGUACAUACCAAAAUGUUUUCCUUUGUUUGAGUAGGAGGCUUCUUCUCAAACACCCGGACUUUUCAUACCAUAUGCAUGUGGAGAUGAGCAUUCGACAACUAGGCCAUCAAAAGUUGCUGCUGGCCGUCUAAAUUGCCCUGCAUAUACUGAAGUCCUACUGCAUAAGAGCGAAAAGGAUAUCAGUCGAAACUCUAUUGAAGGAUCAGAGGACUUCUGCAAGGAAGUGCGCUGUGUCGAGAUAACUGAGGCGGGAAUAAGUGAAUGCUCAAAUUCAUUAUCAACUGAAGUGGGCAGUAGUUUGGUAGGACAAAGUAUGAACCCCGAAAACCAUAGAACAAAAGCUAAAAGGCAGAUUGACUUGAAAUGUCUAAAUAUGACUCCUAUCACACUAGAGCAGCAUUUGGAGAGUGUGAGAAAGGGUCUGAACAAUCUUAUCGGAGCUACACCCGAGGGAUCAUAUCAAUCGUCCUCAAUGAGAGAUUUGUCAAAAUCUCAAGGGUUGACAUUGCAAAGAAGUAAAAGUUGCAGGUCUAUACUAAUGACCUCUCCUGAUUGGUUCCAAGAGCUGGAGCAGAAUAAUUGCACGCCACCGACUAGAUGUCUAAAGGACUUCCCUGGAAGACCUGAAGGGCUUCAAAGAAGGCCUUUGGCAUUGAAUUAUGAUGCUGAAAGUGAAGUACUUUCAGUAGAAGAAUCUCUUAUUUCCGAACAAAGCACUUCUAUCAACAACACGAAAGGGAGUAAGAAUGCUUCUGAGGCAAAUUUUACUACCAUCAGUGAAUUUGCCACAGAGCUGAAGGAGAUGGCUCAGGUUCAGUAUCGGAAUCUACUCGAUGUUGGUCAGGUGUGAAUAAUACAUUUCCUUGUUCUUUUAUAUUGUGCUUAUGCUAUAACCGUAAACUAUGAGCUCAUGCUUUUCUCCCUUUUUGAUCAUCAUUAUAAUUUUUCUUCUUAAUGGACCAACGAGACCAAAUAUUUAGACCUCUUCUAGAAGAGGUGCCUAUCUGACAUUUUCAAUUGCUGUCUCCUGUUAUGAAUUUGAAUCAGAACAUUGAUGAAGAAUUUGGACCUGAAGGUUCUGCUAAGAACAUAGUUCUGGAUCCAGUGCUACACCCUACGCAAUCUCCUUCUAGAUGGCCAUUAGAAUUCGAAAGAAAGCAGCAAGAAAUCGUUGAGCUCUGGCAUGCAUGCAAUGUCUCUUUAGUCCACAGAACUUACUUUUUCCUGCUUUUCAAAGGUGAUCCUACAGACUCGAUUUACAUGGAAGUGGAGCUGAGGCGGUUAUCCUUUUUGAUAAGUACUCACUCUAGGGGAAGCUUGGAUAAAACCCAAGCAUUUGGUGGUUCAAAUACUGUUCUUGCAUUAAGGUGCAUGCUAUUCUGCAAAAACUUUUACUAAUCUACAUAAAAAGUUCUAGACUUAUAUAUCUCUGUAAAAUCAUCUAUUAUAUUAUACCAUUGUGAAAUGCGAUUUCUCGUAUAAUAUUUAAGAAAGUAAGUUUCUCCAGGGCAUAUGUUAGAAUGUAAAUUUCACUGGUAUAAUAUGUAAAUAGAGAAUAUUGCAGAGGUUCCUAUGAGAAAAAUCUCUGUACAAUACGAACAUCUACCUUUAGCUAACCCUGAAUUUCACCGCUAGCAGCAUGAAAAAGCUUCGGCAUGAAAGGGUGAUGCUAACUCGGCAGAUGCAGAAGAGACUAACACCACGAGAAAGGGAGAGCAUAUACACGAAGUGGGGAAUUUCACUGCACUCCAAGCAGAGGAGGCUACAGCUGGCCCAACGACUGUGGACUGAGACCAAGGACCUCGAACAUAUCCGAGAAAGCGCUUCUCUCGUUGCAAGACUAGUUGGGCUCUUAGAGCCCGGAAAGGCCCUAAAGGAGAUGUUCGGACUUAGCUUCACACCUCAACAAUCUAAUCGCAGAUCCUUUAUUUGGAAACAUGGUAUCUCUUCACUCAAUUAAGCAAAUUGGAAGCUUCGUUUUGCCAACCGAACUUUAUAUUUGAUGAAAAGGUUUGCAAUUGAUAAACAGUUUGUUUUGCCGUUAUUGGUUCUUGUUUUCUUAUAAUUUAGGAAAGUAUUUAAAAUAACUGUGAGCGGGUUUUACUUGGAAGUGCCCUGCUAGUGCUUUCUAGUUCUGCUUGUCUUUUUCACUAGCGGCGGAAAGUCCGCGCUGGGUCUUGUUCUUCUGCUUCAGUACCCAUGGCUAGGUUACAUUUUCAGUUGCUAACUACCAAGAAUGCAUUGAGGAGAAGGGAAUUUAAACGAUUAGUUGUUUUCUUCUAAGUUUUGAUGUAUGCUACAACACUAUUAGUAAUUGAAAUGUUUGGAUUGAUUAUUAAAGGUUAAUAGAUUCCAUUUGUUGUUGCGGUUGCUUUUACUUUCUGAAAAGGGAUCCCAUUUUACUUUUAUAUGUCAGUAACUUAUAUGUUAAUCUUUGCAUUCCUCCCUUGCGAAUAUUUUUGUUUGUAUUUUCCUCUUCUCUGAUAAAUGUGCUUCAUAGAAUUUCAUAAAAAGCUUAGUGAUUAAGGAAGAUAACAGUUAAUUAUCGCUUUUUAGGUAUUGAUAAUAGUUUCCUGGGCCAACUAAACAGCAAGGAGAUAGAAAUCAACCGAAGAAAGAGGAUCCGGCCGAAACAAGUGAAAUGAAAAGAGAUCCGAGCGAAUGGAAAGGAGAACCUAAAGGAGAAAUCGUCUUUUUCGCUUUGGUUAACCCUUCAUACCAAGAUUCUUAUUUUGAUCGGUAUCGAGAUAAUUGCGUUGGGAGACUUAAAAGAAGUGAUCACCCUGGUUUGAAAAAGUUUUUGUUGCUUUACUUUUUGACUCUGACUAUAGAAUAGCACAUUGCGAUGUGUAAAAAUAUUCAGCUUUUAAUUUAUUUUUGAGUGUUUGCUAAGUUUGAUUUUCUUCACCAGUAUAUGUUUUACUAUAUUGUGAAAUAACUUAGCUUAAGCGGUCAGCAAAUAAUAUUUUAGUGUUUUAUAUUCAACAAACACAACAGUUGAGUUAUCACCGGAUCCAUAAUUCAAAUUUAAUCCUUAAUCCAUUUGUUGGACUUGGUACAAUCAUGUUUUUUUUUCGGAAUCAUCAAAAAUAUUAGGGAAAAAGUGUUAAGUUCUCCUUCAAUGCCAUUUAUUAGUCUCUCAAAAUGCUGCGUACCAAAACCACUCCUCUCAAGUGAAAAGGAAUUAGAAUAACCUUUUUCCUUGUCUCCCCUGUUUUAUGGUUGUGAGAACCCAUAUAGUCCUCUAUAUAAGAUAUAAUAGGGCUAGAACUCUUAACCAGCCUUAAGCAUUUUGGGUGGUGGCAAGGCCCAAGAGGUUAAGAGAGUUAAGUGUGUUAGGACGGGAGUAGUUCUAGGAUGGGUGAUCCCCUGGGAAGUUGGGGCGUCACAGAUAGUAUCAGAGCCAAUUACCAGCCGGAAAUGUGAGAUAAGUCUCGGCUGAGCCAGGGUCUGGAUGACGGGCUAGCGAGAUGAGUCUCACAUCGCCUGGUACUUGUGAGUCUGAGCCUGACGAGGACGUCAGGGCUUAAAGGAGGGGAGAUUGUGAGACCCCAGAUAGUCCUAUAUAUGAGAUAUAAUAAGGUUAAACUCUUAACCCGGCUUAAGUAUUUUGGGUGGUGGUAAUGCCCAAGAGGUUAAGAGAGUUAAGCAUGUUAGGACGGGAGUAGUCUUAGAAUGGGUGACCUCCUGGGAAGUUGGGGCGUCACAAUGGUCCCUUAAAGCAAUAAUUAGUGAUUAGUGAUAUUUACAUGUUAUUAGCAAAGUAAAUUGUGACAUACAAAGUUCCUAUGCAAGGAUAUGUGAACUAUCAAAUUUUUGGUAGAAACCAUUUUCCAACCAAACAACACCAGGGGAUCCUCAUUUAUAUUACCUAUAAACUCAAAAUUUCAGAAAACAAAAUAACCUGCAUUUCCAACAUAAACUCAAAACUCAGAAACCAAAAUAUUUGUUUAGAACAUGACUGAUUUUUCAUAUCCAACUUGCCAAACUGUCCACUAUUACGUAAUUUUUAUAUAAUUUCUACACUUGCAUGAUUAAGAACUAAUAAUAUGCCACAAACUACAUUAUCAUGUUCACCUUCUCCCACUGACACAUGUAAUGUAACAUAUGCAAGAAGAUCAUCCUCCAGAAGUUGUCAAAAGACUCACCAACUGGUGAGCAGCUAGCGAAGAUCUGAUUAAUUAAUUACACAAAAUAAAACCAAGGUUAUUAUUGUAUUAAUUACACGUACGCCGUGUACACAGGAAAGUAGACAUGUAACAGUAGUUAGGUUACCUGUCUCUCUCUAUUCUCAUUCGGAGUCGUGUUUGUUCUAAGACACCGCCACUUUUCGACGAAAGAAUGAGUAUCGUUCCUGUACAAGUUUUAGAUAUAUAUUUCAUUUUCAAAUUGUCCAUCUACAGCUACAGCUAUUUAAAAAUGGAGAAGUUGUUCGAGAAUCCAGGCGAAAUCAAAGAAGAGAUUCGUUGUAGCACUAUAAGGCACUGAGCAAAUGCACAUUCGAUCAUCAAUGCGCGAGAGAUGAUUUAGGUGUGGGGAGAGGGGGACAAGACACAGAAGGUGGGUCGAACCAACUCCAGGAAUUAAUGGAGCCCAGCUGCAUGUGUGUGGUCGGUCUAAAUUAGCUCGAACUCCAUUUAAUUCAUAUAUAACACAAAUUAUAUACAUUCACUAAUCACUACAACAAAAAUAGUUUAUAACGAUAUUUUUAAAUAUUGGUACAUGUCAAAAGAAGUGCUGCUGGCUAAAUUAUCGAUAUUUUUUAAAAGUAUUGCUUUAUGUGAGAUCGCUAUAGAUAGUACCGCCUUGACAUUUGAAAUCCAUUCCUCCAACGACUUGUAGCGGAGGGAUAUGUGGCGAUUCUAGUCCUCUACAGUCACUGCGAGAUGCUCGCGGCCAAACUCCAGUCGUCGAAACCCUAACUCGUCAACUACGGCGGUGGGGAAGGAGAAGGCGAGAUGGUGAUUAUUUUUUCUUUUUUAUUUAUAAUCGGACCAAGUAGACUGGGUGUGAUUGGUUGAGUAGAGAAAUUUUUUAUUUUUGAUUGGAUUGGACUUUAUAUAUUUAGGCCUUAAUAGAUUUUUUAAAAAAACUUUGGCAUAAAUAUGACACUUAUAUCAAAAAUGUCCAAAAAAUGUGUCUUUAUAAUUUAAUUCUGUUGUCAUGAUUCCUUUGAAUACGAAUAUCGAAACUUGUUUCUAAACUUAGUAAAUGUAGAAUUAAGUUACUGUUGAUUGUUAAACCUGUUUCAUCCAGUAUAUAUAAUUUUGUUUGGGUUUAUUAGCGUGUUCUUCAACUAAUUAAUAAGCUAAAGAUCAAAAGCUUGUUGAAGUAUGAUAUUAUAUGAUGGUACGUAUUAUGGUCUUAUAUUUAGGCUGGUCAAACUUUAUGGUCUACUUAAUUUGUAGCUAAUCUUGAACUUGAAAACAAUGUGUGUUUUUUUUAUUUAAAAAGUCAAUAAUAAGAGAAUUGGUUGACACACUAUUUUAAUAGGACAAGCACAUAUCUUUUAAUCGACUAAUCCGAAGUUCCCAUUUUAAAUGGCGUAUAGAGAUGAUAAUUUUGGUAUGAUUAAGGGCCACUGCUUAAAGUUAACUAGGAUGAUCUAAGUAAUUAAUUUGUGCCGAAGCAAAAUAAUUAACAAGCAGCAGGUGUACUUUGACAAAUUCAUGGUCCACAAAAAUAGUAGAUAUAAAUGAAAUAAUAUGGCUUUUCAAACUUAAUUAAAAUAAAAAUAGUAUAUAUAUAUAUAUAUAUAUAUAAUGAAAUAUAAUGUGGCUUUUGAAUUGUUAGGAUCUGGGAAUAAUAUAGAGGCUACUGUUUUAUUAUUUAUUUUGCCAUUAAUUAACCGAGUCAAUGAGGCACCUAAACGUUGACAUGCAUGCAUGUAUUAUAGCAUUUGAUUGUGCAAUGUCGCACGCGCCACAAAACCUUUAACCAAACUCGAGUUUUAUAAUUUUAAUUAAAAAAAAAGAAAAAAAAAUAAAGUUUCAUUGUACGUGGACAAAAAUUUGAACGUGACAUGGACCUGACCAUUGUUUAUUUCUGUGGGCAAGUCCACGAAUUCAAAUGAAAAAACGUGUUAUGGAAGGUUACUCCGUAAAAAAAUAAAAUAAUAUAAUGUGAUUAAUUUAACUUUUAACUUUUUUGCUUCUAUUAGAGCUUCGAGAGAAGUGCAGCUGUAGUAAAGCUGUUUUAAAAUGUUCGAUUUUACUUUUUGCUUUACUUUACUUAUAUUUAUACUUCAUUUACCUGGUAUAUUAUAGUGUUAAAAUUAAAAGUUGAAAUAAAAUUGUUAGUUUAUAUACAAUUUUUUUUAAAAAAUCUAAUGUUUUUGAAUUUACAGCAAUGAGAAGCUAUUAAGCGAUUUUAUUGUUGAGCAAUGCUUCAAUACUUCGUUCUAAUCUUAACCGUUUAUUUUUAAUCAAUGAAGGGUUAAGAUUUAUGCAUAAAAAAAAGAUGACAUGCUAUUGCACAAGUAGUACCGGUCACCAGAUAUGUGAAUCUAGGAGUUUUUUUGGAGAAAGAAAGAGCUAAUAUUAGAAAGUUAAAUAACUAAUAUUGGAAAGUUUUGCAUACUGCCCUUGAAUCAUAGAGAGAAUAAAUUUUUAAUUAAAUUAUCCAUUUUUAAGAUCGGUUUUAAUAAUAAUUUAUGAUCGCAUUGAGUCAUAAAUUUGGUAAUUUAUAAUUUAAAAUUAAUUUUCAAACAUCGAAACUUUAUGUUUAAAUAGUUAACAAAAUUUAUUUUAAGUAUAAUUUAUAAAUCUAAAUUAUAAUUUAAAUUUCAUCAAUAUUUUUUAAAUUUAAUGCUGUUUUUCAAUAUUGAAUUAACAACUUCAACUUACUUUAAAAUGUAGAAAUAUUUUAUUUAAAUAAAUAAUAAAAGUUUAUAAAUACACUAUAACUUAAAUUACAAUUUUAAAGAUACUAACAUUUUGAACUUUCAUGUUAGUUUAAUAUUGAAUUAACAAUUUGAAUUAGUUUAAUAUUGAAUUAACAAUUUGAAUUAGUUUAAUAUUGAAUUAACAAUUUGAAUUGAAAUGUUUACUCGUUUAAAUAUAUAUUUUUCUUUCUAAAAUUUAAAUUUAAUUUAUACAAUUAUAAAUAUAAAGUUUAAACUCAAGUUAAAUUUUAAAUUCGAAUUUAUGAAGAUUUAUUACUUAUGAAAUUAGCCAUUAUCUAAUUUGGCAAGUAACAAAAUUAAAUUAUGAAACAAAGAUUUGUUGAAUAUUAUCAAAUUUAGUAAUUAGCUAAUGCAUAUUUUCAAAUAUUAUCUUUAUGAUUGAUUGGUAACCUGUUGAGCAGGUUACGAUUGUGUAGGUUACGAUUGUGUAAAAGUCAAUCUUAAUCUCAAAAAUUUGAAUGGUCGGAUUUAAAUUGGCCGGUGUAUAGAAACAUUUCUCUAUAUUGUUUUAUUUCUUUUAAUAAUGCUACUAAUUAAUUAGCACUUCGUCUUAAUACACUCUAUAAGGAAGUGCCAAACGUACACAGGUAUUUGAUAAUUUAUGAUCUUUAUACAUAAUAUCAAAUUUACAUGCAUUAUAUCAGUUCGACAUACUAUAAUACAUUAACUAAUAAUAUAUAAAAAUAACUUUCCUCGUUUGCGAGGAUUGAAUUUCUCGCAUACAGACAAAAAAAUAAAAUAAAAUAAAAAUAUGUUUUUCUUUUUUUUCCUUUUUUUUUUUUUUUGGGUCUGUUUUAAUAAAAGUUAAAAGUGGUAGAGAAACGUUACACUCACUUUAUUUUCCAUCCGUGAGAUCUGAUCAAGCACUCCGCUACCGCGUGAUGUGUGUACAGCGACCACAUUCGCACACACACAAGUGUACGGCGCUGAUGAUGCCGGUGCCGGAAAUUAACGGUAGAUCACCUGUCCCCACUACCACACACACACGCGCCAUCUCGCCCUUUCCAUUUGUGUGACACGUGGGACCCACAUGUGUGGAUCCCACUCACCCUCACCGGGAAAGUAUUGCGUGCACCAGGUGUAGGCAUACAUCUCAUACACCACUGAAACUAAACCCACAUUGUAUGAUGUAAGUUUGUUUCUAUACCUAUAGCACUUUAAUAUUUUUAGUUGCACUAUUUAUUUGAUAUAAAGUAAAUAACGUAGAAGCCGAAAUUUCUAACGUUAAUAUUUACUUAGUUUUUUCACUUUUUUUUUUUUAUUUUUUAUAACCGACUUAGGUCUCAAAUAGACCAAAGUCUACUAUAGUAUUUGCGAAUUUUAAGUUUUGACCAAAGAUAAUAGUAUGAUGAAUUAAAUAAUAAAAAUAAAUAGUUAUGACAAAAAAAUUACUUCAUUCAUCCUUAGUUUUUAAAGUCCUUAGCAUGAGAAAAUAGCUCACUAGCUAUAUUUCAUAAUAUUUAAUCGGCCUAAAUAUUGAACAUUAUAAAUUUUAAAUAUUUUUAUACCGGUAAUUUUAGAAAUCAUUUGAUGCGAGCUUUGAUAUACAAUAUCCUUUCAAAUAUAUGUACUUAUGUAGGUGGCAGUCCUCGGAAUAAAUUUUAAUUUUAGAAAAUUAAUCAUUGAAUAUUGGCUACGGUUCAUGAGGUUGAUGGAUACACCAGGUGCAGGCAAAAGUUUCCUACUCCUCUCAACCUCGUGAUAUGAUAACCGUCGCCCCCGAAGACCAUCUCGAACAACGCCGAGCGCGUGGACCGAGAACUGCGGCCCAAAGAACUCCCAUCACAGCAAACAGCCUUAUCCUCCACCCAGAUCACGCCACGUGUACAGCAGCGGCUAUUCCGUGAACUGUGGCCCCACCAUGAGCUGAGCUGGCAAUGGCCGUCCCCACACACGAAUGCACACACUCGUUAUUUAUGUAUCUAGAAAAAGAAACAGUAUUAUUACCAUAAAAUAUAAAAUAAAAAAAAAUUAAAAUUGAACUCUCUCUCUCUCUCUCUCUCUCUCUCUUAAUUUCUCUUCUUCUGCUUCAAUUUUGUAGUUACUUUAAAUUCUCUCUCAACUCUAUUUAAUACUUUUCUCUCUUUCUCUGACUAAACGCAAUCUCCGUAAAUUAAUUUUUAUUUUAUUUUUAUUUUGGUUUUUUUUGGUUCUUAACGCUCUCUAUAAAACCCUCUCACCUCUCUCUCUCCG